UGAGGGACGCUGGGAGAUGUAGUUCUGCCCGAACUCAGCCACUGGACCGAAACUUUUUAAUGGGACCCAGAAAACCACAGACGGGAUCGUACUGCGAUAAUGGUGUGAGGUGAAAAGUUCAAAUAAUGAGAAAAAGUGUGUCUAAAUCCAGUCCGGACCGUCCUGCCACAACAGAUCAGCUCAGACAAAUGACUACAGGAUACUCCACACAUGGGUGGAUUACCCAGCGGGCCUGCCGGGCCCAGGCCCGGGGGCCCAAAGGGCUCAGCAGGGGGGGAGGGGGGCCUCUAAAGCCGGAGUGAAGUCACUGUUUUUAACUUUGGUGUCAGAAACACUGAGGGAAUGUUCAAAACAUUCAGUCUGGAGAUGUGAGGACAGAGAAACCAUCUCGUCCUGCUUCUUCACACGAACACACCGAGCUGUGAAACGUCUCGUCGAGCUUUAACUCUGCAGGACGGAUCAGAACCGUAGAUCUGUUUCUGCCUCACACGGAGUUACAUCGGAGGGAUUUAAACAUUAGUUCAGUGACACUCUGUCUGUUUUUAAAGGGAACACACACCUUGUUGGGAAACAAACAGAGCAGAACUGACUGAAAACUGGAUGUAUUUCCUUUAUUCUGCCACUAGAUGUCAGUGUUGGUACAUCACUCUGUACUUAAUGUCCAGCAGCAGGACUGUUGAUAUGUACAGUACAUUUAUACUGUGUGUGUGUGUGUGUGUGUGUGUGUGUGUGUGUGUGUGUGUGUGUGUGAGACCAAACUCUGUAAAUAUAUAAUUCACCAUUUUAUUUGGACACCAUUUGACUUCUUUGUGUCUGCAGGUUGUUAAAAAAGGUCCAGUUGUGUUUUUUUUGUUUUGUUUUGUUUUUUGUUUUUUUUCAGUUUCUUCCAGGUUAGAAGCUGAAAUAUAUUAACCUGGAUGUGAUUUAUAAAUAAUAAAGUAAAUUUUUUUUAAUAAGUGAAAGUCAAGUAAAAUCAAAAGAAGCAAAAGAGCAAAAUUGUGUUUUAAAAGAAAAUUAAAAAUGAUUCUGACUCAAGAUUUUGGCAAUUUUCUCAAAAGUUUCAUUCAACAUGUAAAAUAGUUUGAUUCUGUAUUUUUGUGCUGUAGGAGUUUAAGGUUUAUUAGGUGAUUUUUAAAGUAAAUAACCUGCAUUUAUUCUGUCUCAUGACCUCAUCACAGUGUGGCAGAUUUAUUCUACUUUCAUAAAAAAAAAAAAAAAACACGUCAAACAAAUAUCAGUUUAUUUUUUUUGGAAAUCUGCCUCAAUAUUACAGAACAAAGCUACAUGAUGAAGGUCGGGAGGGAAAAUCUCUUUGUGAACCACUGAUCCUCUAACAGUGGGUUGGAUAAAUAAGGAAACAACUAGAACAACUUACCUGGGACACAAA